GCUUGGCCGAGCGGUUAAGGCGAUAGACUCGAAAUCUAUUGGGAAACCCGCGUGAGUUCAAAUCUCACAGC
rnacentral:tRNA from 1 species